ACCUUCCUGCAACCUGUGCUCAGGCGUCACUUCCCAGAACAAUCCACUAGUGACUCACCUUGAACUUGAGAUGAAUACUGGCUGCCUGUAGAUAAGAGGAUGGAGAAUCACUUUCCUUCUGCUACAUUUUUGCUAUUUGAGUUAAGAAGACACAAUGUAUUAUCAUCUACAUGAUACUUUUUAUUAUAAAAUGAAUAAUGCCGUCUGUAAGUUUUUAAAGGUUA